rnacentral:lncRNA from 1 species
UUUCACUUAGCAUAAUGUCUCCCAGUUUCAUUGACACUGUUGCAAAUCUCUUUUUUUAAUAUUUACCACAAUUUAUCCAUUUAUCCAUCAAUAGACACUUAGGUUGUUUCCAUAUUUUGAGUAUUGUGAAUAACGCUGCAAUGAAUAUGUGAGCACAGAUGUCUCUGUGAGGUACUGAUUUAAUUUCCUUUGGAUAUAUAAACCAGAAGAGCAAUCGUUAGAUCAUGUAGUGGUUCCAGUUUUAAUUUUUUGAAGAACCUCCACACUGUUUUCCAUAAUAGCUGUACCAUGAAAAUUUUUAUAGUAGAAAUGUACAAUAGGAAGCAGAAUGUGAAUCUGCAUCAUAGAGAGGCCUGGGCUAGCAAUAUAAAGUAGGGCAUCAUGAGCACAUAUGAAGAGUAUUUGAAAUUGUAGCACUGAAAGAGAUAAUCCUGGAGGAGCAUGUAGAAACUGAAGAGAAAGCAAGGAUGACACAGCAGCAGUCACCUAACUCUCUUCUAUUUUUAGCUCAGAGGGUUAUUCAUUUCUUUAAGACCUAAUUUCUCAAUGACACCGACAUAACUGCUAACACCCAUGGUUACUCUCCUCUCAGGAUGCUUGCUGUACCCACACUGAUUUGUCACCAGAUUUCUUAAAGAUAAAGAAGAUAUUUCUUUGUGCCUUUGUAUCUAACACAAUGCUUCGCAUGGAUCUGUACUCAAUAAAUGUGUGUGGAUAAAAGUGAUGACUACCUGUUUUGACCAUUAGAUAAUGCAAGCUUGUAAUAGACAUGGAGCUUUAGCAAAUGCAGUGACCUAAAUCACUGGCAUCCUAAACACUUUCGUUUAUUAUAAAAAAAAAAGAAAAGAAAAAAAAAAGAGGGCUGAGAAAUAUCCAUGCUCUGAUUUAGCUGCAGGGGCAGAGACCACAUAAAAGAAACCAGAUAUUCUUACAUACAUUUUUAUGAUUAAUUUUAUAAAAGUUCCCAGCCAGGAAGCAGGUUUUCCCUUAAGACAGGUUCUAUUAUACAAAUCCAAAUGCUAUAUGGAAAUUCUGUGAGUGAAACUCUUUCUGGUUAUACUUAUUCAACUAUCCAAAGUUAAUUAAACCCUCAAUCAUUUUCCGGGGAACUGAAACGAUGAGAUGAGAUUCGAUGAUCUGAAAUUUCUGGAAUCUCCUUUCAUUUCCUUCCUUUUUCCCUGAUGGGUGAAGUAUUAGCAAUUUUUUCUCUCAUCUUGGAGAACUGCUGUUUGUAGAGGACAAAUUGCGUCCUGACUGGCAGUGCCACGAUUUCCCAGUUUCUUUCCUUCAGAAUUCUCAGAUGAAUACCAGGUGAUUUACUGUAUUUGAGUUCCUCAAAGUUACUCAAGAACUGCAUCCUUAGAGACUAUGACAUGCUUGGGUUUCCCUUAGAGAACACUUGUGUUCUGGAAAUGUAAAGAUUUCAGCCUCUACUCACCGUAUUAGAACAUAGGGCCAGACAUAUAUUUUUUUUCCCCAAAUAUGGUCUCUCUUGUGAUCUUUGGCCAUACUUUAUGAAAAUAAAAUAUGAGAAAGCAUAUUUUCACUUCAUUGAGUGGUAUAUUGUACAUACACAUAUUAUUUUAGGACCCAAAAGUCCUUGUUUAGAGUCCAAGCUCCUGUCCAGUGUUCAGAUGCUACCCCUGAAACUGGUGAGGAAAACUCUUUUGACUUUGGGAGCAUUCGCUCCUGGAAUCCAUCAGGGCUCCAGACUUUUCCAAUAAUGGCAAUUACAUACUUUGCUUUGGUUGGAUAGUGGAGUGGGCAGGUGUUUUUGUUGUUUAUGUCUACCCAGCACCCAUGUUCCCAUCUUCUGGAAAUAACCCCUCAAUGUGAGAGGGCCACCUCCAUUGCUAUUUUAAGUUUAUGCAGUUCAGAUAGAGUGGACCUCAGCACCUGGCCUAAGGAGUUAGGACAUCGUGAGAUGGGUCAAUCCCAGCAUUGCAUUAUCCUGGCCACCGUGAUUGAUUUAGGGAUGGGCAUAGAGUCAUCCAAGCAAGACCGACACUCUCAAUCCUGGUUCACUGUUGGGAAAUCCUCUAUAUAGCCUCCAGAAUGAUGGUUAUAAAAGGUCACAUCCUAUUUCUUGGCUGUCUUCAUUUCAUUGUAACCAGGAUUAAAUCUAAACUCUUACCAUGGCUCAUAAAGCCAUGGUGAUCUAAUGCCUACUGGUCUCAUUUAUCUUAUCAUCUGCUAUUUCUAUUUUUCCUAUUGAGUAUACACUAUUUUAUUUAAUUCUCAACACAUCCCCACAUUUUAUAUAUAUACAUACACACACACACACACACACACACACACACACACACACACACACACACACACAUAUAUAUAUCUUUAUAGUCACUUCACUCUACCAGGCUCAGGCUAUGCUGAUUUUCAUCUUAGAAACUAUGCACUUGAUCUUCUUUCUCCAUGCAAUAGUCUUUCCCUAGAUCCCUUGGUUGCCUCUUUUUCAUAAUAAUUCAUGUUUGAAGUCAAAUGCCCCUUAAACUUACAGGAAUUCCUGGAGAAUGAAACAAAAAUAGUAAUCAUAUUUAUUUUCUACUUCAUUACUCUGCAUUAUCUUUUCAUAUUAAUGAGUCCUCCCAAAGAUUGCAUGUGUUCACUUCUUUAUUCUCUCUCUCAUAUGACCAGAAUGUAAGCUCUUUGAGGAUAAGACUAUUAAUUAUCUAGUUCACCACUGCACAUAUCUCCUGUUCCAUAUGUAUUGGGCUCUCUGUAACUAUUUGUUCUCUGGAGGAGGAGCCGUCUUUGGCCGGGCUUGCUAUGCUGCCAGGAUAUAAGCCAGGAGUUGCUAGUGUCAAACUGUCAGCCAAAAAGCCAACAGGAGAAAUGGGAACUGUGAAAUGGAGAAGGACAGGUUCCCAAUAGUACAACCAAAGCCAGAUACCCUGGGAUAUUGGUUAUAUAAGCCAAUAAAUUCUCCUUUAUGCUUAAUUCACUUUGAGUUAAGUUUCUGUCACUUGUAACCAACAGAGUCUUUACAGAGAAGUAUGUGAAAAAAACUUGGAAAGAGCAAACUGCCAUGCUCAUGUAAAUACAAUAUUCUUGUAUAAUUUCCAUUUCUUGUCUCACCAUUUAUCUUUCUAUUUUUGUCUUUGGCCAGAAUUUUAAUUAUCUGAAAGGGUUAGAAACGCUUUCAGAUAACUAAAAUUCAGAUUUGAGGGUAUUCAGGUAAUUCAGCAGUGGAAAUGUCUUUGAGAUUUGUUUAUAAAUCACAACAUAUAUAAUUAGCUUGAUUGGGGAAAUCUUUUCCCAAUGCAUAUGUAUGUCAAAACAUCAUGUUGUAUAGCUUAAGCAUAUGCAAUAUUUGUCAAUUAUACCCCAAUAAAUCUGGAAAAAAUUUUAAAAAUAAAACACAAGCUACAGAGUAACUGACUAUUAUGGUCUAUGGUAUAUUUUUAUUGAUGUGCUUUAGUGAAUUCUUUGGGUAUCUUUCCUUUUAGGCAUGAUAGAGUAGCUGUACUAGACUGGCUCUUGCAACAAAAAAAAGGGGUAAAUAAGUAAAUUAAAAUCAAUGAUAAAAUACAAGAUACAACUUUUUUUAAGGACUUGAACAACAAGUAGUAUAGUAUUUCAGUGUAGAAGGGAAAUACACAAGAUAAGUGUCAUGAUUAUACCACAAUCACUCAGACUUUCUCCCUAUUGCAGAACAGAGAGAAGAAGCCCAUGUGGGGUAGGAAUGUCACUGAGCUAAGGAGGCAGAGAUUGGAAUUAUCAGUUUCUGGCUGAAAUUGAAUUGAAUAUCAAUUGAAGUGGCUGGAAUUUGUAGGGCAGGAUCCUGAUAAGAAAAAGUGAGGAAAUGGGGUUGAGGGGUGGAAAAGAGACUGUACAGGGAUUUAGUAAUUAUAUAAAAUAUUUUUAAAUUAAAAAUUUUUUUCUUUUGGGGGCUGCACCUGCGGCAUUGGAAUUUCCUGGGCUAGGGAUUGAAUUGGAGCUGCAGCUGCUGGCCUAUGCCACAGCCACAGCCAUGCCAGGUCCAAGUGGCAUCUGUGACUGCAGCUUGCAGCAAUGCUGGUAUUUAACCCUCUGAGCGAGGCCAGGGAUCAAACCCACAUCUUCAUGGAUACUAGUCAGGUUCUUAACCCACUGAGCCACAAAGGGAACUCCAAAGAAGAGAAAUUGGGUAAACAGUAAGUGUUGGAAACCUGGAGUGGCCAUUUUAAAGCAGACAAAACAGACUUUGAGACAAGGCAUAUUGCCAAUGAUAUCCCUAAGUUUAAAACCAUGAGUUUAUACUGAAAUGUUAAAUUUCAAUCCCAAACUUCAAGGUACUUGCCUUUCUUCCUCCUUUCCCUAUUUCUCGCUCCCUUCCCCAAGAGUGAGAAACCUGGCUCCCAUAUCCCACCAAAUAUUACUCAUUUGCUUAACCUACACAGCAGAUAGUUUCAAAAUGACUAACAAAUACCAUUAUGAAAAGCAAGCCUGCUGGGGCAGGAAAUACACAAAAGGAGCUUGGGGCCAAUGUCAGUGCCAGAAAAUAAGAUGGACUCAAAGACAAACAAAAACCCAUAUGUCAAUGGGACAGAGGAGCCAAUGCCUGGAGCUUACAGUGAACAAAGCUGGAAUGAUCUGAGCAACAAAAUGAGGUAGUACUGGAUUAAAAUCCCAAGUAAAACAUAAAUAUCCAUGAGGCCACACUUAUAAUAAUAUGUAACUAAGUAAGUAAGUAAAUGAAGGGGGAGAGACAAAUCACUCAUGAAACAAUUCCAAAUUAUUUAUGGAGAUACUCCACCACUAAGAAGGGGAAGUGUGGGCUUUGGGUGGUGAGUUUCUUUCAAAGAGUACAGUAUAGAGGGGAUAUGGAGAAACCCAAUGAACACUUUUUUCUGUGGAUAAACCCAAUGAACACUUUUUCUGCAAAGUGAUAAAGUGAAAAUUAUACUGAAAACUAAUACUGCUAGUAUGUACACUUGAUACGAUGUGAUGAAGAUAGACCUCUGAGGUUGUAUUCUAAAGACACGCACAAUCCCAGUCUAUUUGUAAGAUAAACAGGCAUAUAACAAUAGAGGAGCAUCCUGUGAAAUACCUGACUAGUGGUCCUCAAAUAUCAAGACCAUAAAAAAUAAGGGAAGUUUGAGAAAUCAUCACAGUCAAGGAGAGCCUAAAAAGACAUGACAAUUGAUGGUAUGAUUGGAUACAUUACAUUUGAUGGGACCCUAAAACACAAAAAGGACAUUAAGUUAAGUGAAGGAAACUUGACUGAAUUAUGAAUUUUAAUGAACAGUGAUAUAGCCACAUUGGCUAAUUCAUUUUUAACAUGACCUGUAGUAAUGUAAAAUGCUAACAAAGGGGAAAAUGGGCAUGGUACACAAGGGAAGUGUCUGUAUUAUCUUUUCAGUUUUUUUUUUGUGAAUUUAGAACUGUCCUAAAAAAUAGGGUCUAUUAAAAAAUAGAUUUAGUGCUGGUUGCUGAAUAAAGCUCCUACAAUAUGAAAAAAAGUAGUGGAUUACAAUCCUUCUAAUUAUUCCUCUCACCCAUUUUCUAUAAUUAAACAAAGCUGCUAAGUAAUAUUCAUAUUGGUUGAAACAA